rnacentral:rRNA from 1 species
AUUGAACGCUGGCGGCAUGCCUUACACAUGCAAGUCGAACGGUAACGCGGGGCAACCUGGCGACGAGUGGCGAACGGGUGAGUAAUGCAUCGGAACGUGCCCAGAAGUGGGGGAUAGCCCGGCGAAAGCCGGAUUAAUACCGCAUGAGACCUGAAGGUGAAAGCGGGGGAUCGCAAGACCUCGCGCUUUUGGAGCGGCCGAUGUCAGAUUAGCUAGUUGGUGGGGUAAAGGCCUACCAAGGCGACGAUCUGUAGCUGGUCUGAGAGGACGACCAGCCACACUGGGACUGAGACACGGCCCAGACUCCUACGGGAGGCAGCAGUGGGGAAUUUUGGACAAUGGGCGCAAGCCUGAUCCAGCCAUGCCGCGUGCGGGAAGAAGGCCUUCGGGUUGUAAACCGCUUUUGUCAGGGAAGAAACGCUCUGGGCUAAUACCCUGGGGUAAUGACGGUACCUGAAGAAUAAGCACCGGCUAACUACGUG